ACAGGAUCUGUUGUCAGAUGGGUUUCGUUUGUCCGAUUGGCAGGUUGGGAGUUGAUGUUUGGCCGAGCUUCUCCACCAAUUUCUAUUGUACACAAAUGCAGGCACCUACAGUUUUACCCCGCCUCCGAACGGCAAUCGGAUUUCAUUAGAAGAUUUUGCAUGGCAGAAAUGCACUCGGAGGUUUGCCACUGUCUGCCGAGGGGCAACCGCUGCACAUGGAAGUAUUUAUGCAGAAAAACCGGUCAAAAGUCAGAUUUAUGAAUUGUUGCAAAAAGCCAGGAAAAGA